rnacentral:rRNA from 1 species
UACGUAGGGUGCAAGCGUUAAUCGGAAUUACUGGGCGUAAAGCGUGCGCAGGCGGUCUUGCAAGACAGAUGUGAAAUCCCCGGGCUCAACCGGGGAACUGCGUCUGAGACUGAUGAGCUUGAGUCCGGUAGAGGAGCAGGGAAUUCCUGGUGUAGCGGUGAAAUGCGCAGAUAUCAGGAGGAACACCAGCGGCGAAGGCGCUGCUCUGGGCCGGUACUGACGCUGAGGAGCGAAAGCGUGGGGAGCGAACAGG